rnacentral:rRNA from 1 species
UUUUGUAUAAUGGGUCAGCGACUUACGUUCAGUUGCGAGCUUAACCGAAUAGGGGGAGGCGUAGCGAAAGCGAGUCUGAACAGGGCGUUCAGUAGCUGGGCGUAGACCCGAAACCGGAUGAUCUAUCCAUGGCCAGGUUGAAGGUGCGGUAACACGCACUGGAGGACCGAACCCACUAGUGUUGCAAAACUAGGGGAUGAGCUGUGGAUAGGGGUGAAAGGCUAAACAAAUCCGGAGAUAGCUGGUUCUCCUCGAAAACUAUUUAGGUAGUGCCUCGUGUAUCACUCUCGGGGGUAGAGCACUGUAAUGGUUGGGGGGGUCGAUCUAGACCUACCCCGCCAUAGCAAACUCCGAAUACCGAGAAGUGCGAGCACGGGAGACAGACGGUGGGUGCUAACGUCCAUCGUCAAGAGGGAAACAACCCAGACCCACAGCUAAGGU